rnacentral:rRNA from 1 species
AGAGUUUGAUCCUGGCUCAGAACGAACGCUGGCGGCAGGCUUAACACAUGCAAGUCGAACGGAUCCUUCGGGAUCAGUGGCAGACGGGUGAGUAACGCGUGGGAACAUACCUCUUGGUACGGAACGACAGUUGGAAACGACUGCUAAUACCGUAUACGCCCUACGGGGGAAAGAUUUAUCGCCGAGAGAUUGGCCCGCGUUAGAUUAGCUAGUUGGUGAGGUAACGGCUCACCAAGGCGACGAUCUAUAGCUGGUCUGAGAGGAUGAUCAGCCACACUGGGACUGAGACACGGCCCAGACUCCUACGGGAGGCAGCAGUGGGGAAUAUUGGACAAUGGGGGCAACCCUGAUCCAGCCAUGCCGCGUGAGUGAUGAAGGCCUUAGGGUUGUAAAGCUCUUUCAGCGAGGAGGAUAAUGACGUUACUCGCAGAAGAAGCCCCGGCUAACUUCGUGCCAGCAGCCGCGGUAAUACGAAGGGGGCUAGCGUUGUUCGGAAUUACUGGG